UCCGAAGGGCAUACCUGUUCGAGCGUCAUUACACCCCUCAAAGAUGACUCUUUGGCGUUGGGCAAUGCCUAAAGGCAUGCCUAAAAUCAGUGCUGGUACGUCAAACCACGGGCGCAUAAAUGUUGUCACGUUGGGGCGAUGGGUCAGUCUCAAUUCUCCAUGUUGACCUCGGAUCAGGUAGGGAUACCCGCUGAACUUAA
rnacentral:misc_RNA from 1 species